rnacentral:lncRNA from 1 species
AGGGAUUAGAUUUCAAUGUUCACUCCAUCACUUUUCAGAUGUUUAUCACUGCCUCAUUCUUAAAUGUUUCCUUGACUUCUGUUAUACUACUCUCACUUGUAUAAUUCCAGUCAAAACCAAGGAAUAACCACCCCUCAAAAAUAAGUUCCAUUAAUGACUUAAUGUUUCUGUUUGUUCCUUAACUCUUAAUGUUCCUAAGUUUCUCACUUUAAUCAUUUAUAUUUUGUAACCUCUAAGAACAAAAUUCCACUGCUACGGCUUCACUUGACAGGUGACUAAAAAAUGUCCAAUUGGCUAAUGGACAGCUCCACCUUAAGGCUUCACAGGAACGUCAAACUCUUUAUGUCCAAAAUGUUAAUUUGGAUAUCUUUUGCCUCCAUCCAUUCCCCCUUUGCAUUACCUGUUUCAUUAAUUAGUAACACUGUCCAGCCAGAUUUUAAGCCUCUUAUAUCUGAGUAAGGAAAGAGCUUCUGAGUAUUUUUUUUUAACUUUUGUCUAUCACAUUCCAUUACAUAUUGGAGGCCUUGAUUUCUUUUUUUUUUUUAAUGUUUAUUUAUUUAUUUUGAGGGGAGUAGGUAGAGAGGCAGAAUGAGAGGGGAAGAGAUUCCCACCCAGGCUCCAUGCUGUCACCACAGAGCCCAAUGUGGAUUUGAUCUCACAAACCAUGAGAUUAUGACCCAAGCUGAGAUCAAGAGUUGAGCACUUAACUGACUUAACCACUCUGAGAAAAUGUUUCUAUUGGGGAAAAUGAUAUUCAAAACUGUGACUCUUCAGUCAGGAGCAAGGCCACAAGUGACACCUGCACAGACCAGCUUCCUUGUGCGUCCUGAGGAACUGCACUUCCUUUACUCUUCCAAACCUCCAAGGGUCCUUUGGUCUCAGUGUGAAUUAUGGGAUACUGCUUUGACCUUCAAGUAAUGUUCAAGUCCUGUGUGUCACUGUUUAAACAAGAAGAGCAAUGAAUAACUGAGGAAGAAAUGUAAAGGAGGUGCUUUCCAGGUGAGUAAGAAAGAAGCCAGGCGGUAUAAAUGGG